CCUACGGGGGGCAGCAGUGGGGAAUAUUGGGCAAUGGGCGCAAGCCUGACCCAGCAACGCCGCGUGAAGGAAGAAGGCUUUCGGGUUGUAAACUUCUUUUCUGAGGGACGAAGAAAGUGACGGUACCUCAGGAAUAAGCCACGGCAAACUGCGUGCCAGCAGCCGCGGUAAUAAGUAGGUGGCAAGCUUUAUCCGGAUAUAUUGGGUGUAAAGGGCGUGAAGGCGGGAAAGAAAGUCUUAUGUGAAAACUCAGGGCUCAACUCUGAGCCUAUAUUUGAAACUGUUUUUCUUGAGUGCUGGAGGGGCAAUCGGAAUUCCGAGUGUAGGAGUGAAAUGCGUAGAUAUACGAAGGAACACCGGUAGCGAAGGCAGAUUGCUGGACAGUAACUGACGCUAAGGCGCGAAAGCGUAGGGAGCAAACGGGAUUAGAUACCCGAGUAGUC
rnacentral:rRNA from 1 species